CUGAUCCAGCAAUGCCGCGUGUGUGAAGAAGGCCUUCGGGUUGUAAAGCACUUUUAUCACGGAGCGAAAUACUGCCGGCUAAUACCCGGCGGGGCUGACGGUACCUGAGGAAUAAGCACCGGCUAACUUCGUGCCAGCAGCCGCGGUAAUACGAAGGGUGCAAGCGUUAAUCGGAAUUACUGGGCGUAAAGCGUGCGUAGGCGGUUCUUUAAGUCUGCUGUGAAAUCCCCGGGCUCAACCUGGGAAUGGCAGUGGAUACUGGAGAGCUAGAGUGUGAUAGAAGAUGGUGGAAUUCCCGGUGUAGCGGUGAAAUGCGUAAAGAUCGGGAGGAACAUCAGUGGCGAAGGCGGCCAUCUGGAUCAACACUGACCCUGAGGCACGAAAGCGUGGGGAGCAAACAGGAUUAGAUACCCUGGUAGUCCACGCCCUAAACGAUGCGAACUGGAUGUUGGUCUCAACUCGGAGAUCAGUGUCGAAGCUAACGCGUUAAGUUCCCCGCCGGGGGAGUACGGUCGCAAGACUGAAACUCAAAGGAAUUGACGGGAGCCCGCACAAGCGGUGGAGUAUGUGGUUUAAUUCAAUGCAACGCGAAGAACCUUACCUGGCCUUGACAUGUCUGGAAUCCUGC
rnacentral:rRNA from 1 species